rnacentral:rRNA from 1 species
GGGUUGUGAGGUUAAGCGACUAAGCGUACACGGUGGAUGCCCUGGCAGUCAGAGGCGAUGAAGGGCGUGCUAAUCUGCGAUAAGCGCCGGUAAGGUGAUAUGAACCGUUAUAACCGGCGAUACCCGAAUGGGGAAACCCAGUGUGAUUCGUCACACUAUCAUUAACUGAAUCCAUAGGUUAAUGAGGCGAACCGGGGGAACUGAAACAUCUAAGUACCCCGAGGAAAAGAAAUCAACCGAGAUUCCCCCAGUAGCGGCGAGCGAACGGGGAGGAGCCCAGAGCCUGAAUCAGCAUGUGUGUUAGUGGAAGCGUCUGGAAAGGCGCGCGAUACAGGGUGACAGCCCCGUACACAAAAGCGCAUGUGCUGUGAGCUCGAUGAGUAGGGCGGGACACGUGGUAUCCUGUCUGAAUAUGGGGGGACCAUCCUCCAAGGCUAAAUACUCCUGACUGACCGAUAGUGAACCAGUACCGUGAGGGAAAGGCGAAAAGAACCCCGGCGAGGGGAGUGAAAAAGAACCUGAAACCGUGUACGUACAAGCAGUGGGAGCCCCACCACUAAGCCAGUGGUGAACUCCACAUCCGCAUCCUUUGCUGAGGAUACGGUUAACGGAGCGAAAGCGACGUUCAACCGCAAAACAAGCAGAGGGGGCUUAGUGGUGGGGUGACUGCGUACCUUUUGUAUAAUGGGUCAGCGACUUAUAUUCUGUAGCAAGGUUAACCGAAUAGGGGAGCCGGAGGGAAACCGAGUCUUAAUUGGGCGUUAAGUUGCAGGGUAUAGACCCGAAACCCGGUGAUCUAGCCAUGGGCAGGUUGAAGGUUGGGUAACACUAACUGGAGGACCGAACCGACUAAUGUUGAAAAAUUAGCGGAUGACCUGUGGCUGGGGGUGAAAGGCCAAUCAAACCGGGAGAUAGCUGGUUCUCCCCGAAAGCUAUUUAGGUAGCGCCUCGUGAAUUCAUCUCCGGGGGUAGAGCACUGUUUCGGCUAGGGGGCCAUCCCGGCUUACCAACCCGAUGCAAACUGCGAAUACCGGAGAAUGUUAUCACGGGAGACACACGGCGGGUGCUAACGUCCGUCGUGAAGAGGGAAACAACCCAGACCGCCAGCUAAGGUCCCAAAGUCAUGGUUAAGUGGGAAACGAUGUGGGAAGGCCCAGACAGCCAGGAUGUUGGCUUAGAAGCAGCCAUCAUUUAAAGAAAGCGUAAUAGCUCACUGGUCGAGUCGGCCUGCGCGGAAGAUGUAACGGGGCUAAACCAUGCACCGAAGCUGCGGCAGCGAACGUAUCACUUAAAGCGAUUCAGCGGGUUACGAUUGACGGAGCGAAGCGACGUCAAAGCGUAUACAAAGUCGAGUCGGUUUAAGGAUACGUUCGUUGGGUAGGGGAGCGUUCUGUAAGCCCGUGAAGGUGGCCUGUGAGGGUUGCUGGAGGUAUCAGAAGUGCGAAUGCUGACAUAAGUAACGAUAAAGCGGGUGAAAAGCCCGCUCGCCGGAAGACCAAGGGUUCCUGUCCAACGUUAAUCGGGGCAGGGUGAGUCGACCCCUAAGGCGAGGCCGAAAGGCGUAGUCGAUGGGAAACGGGUUAAUAUUCCCGUACUUGGUGUUACUGCGAAGGGGGGACGGAGAAGGCUAUGUUGGCCGGGCGACGGUUGUCCCGGUUUAAGCGUGUAGGUGUGUGUUCCAGGUAAAUCCGGUUCACUUUAACACUGAGGCGUGACGACGAGGCACUACGGUGCUGAAGCAACAAAUGCCCUGCUUCCAGGAAAAGCCUCUAAGCAUCAGGUAACACGAAAUCGUACCCCAAACCGACACAGGUGGUCAGGUAGAGAAUACCAAGGCGCUUGAGAGAACUCGGGUGAAGGAACUAGGCAAAAUGGUGCCGUAACUUCGGGAGAAGGCACGCUGACACGUAGGUGAAGUGAUUUACUCAUGGAGCUGAAGUCAGUCGAAGAUACCAGCUGGCUGCAACUGUUUAUUAAAAACACAGCACUGUGCAAACACGAAAGUGGACGUAUACGGUGUGACGCCUGCCCGGUGCCGGAAGGUUAAUUGAUGGGGUCAGCGCAAGCGAAGCUCCUGAUCGAAGCCCCGGUAAACGGCGGCCGUAACUAUAACGGUCCUAAGGUAGCGAAAUUCCUUGUCGGGUAAGUUCCGACCUGCACGAAUGGCGUAAUGAUGGCCAGGCUGUCUCCACCCGAGACUCAGUGAAAUUGAACUCGCUGUGAAGAUGCAGUGUACCCGCGGCAAGACGGAAAGACCCCGUGAACCUUUACUAUAGCUUGACACUGAACAUUGAGCCUUGAUGUGUAGGAUAGGUGGGAGGCUUUGAAGUGUGGACGCCAGUCUGCAUGGAGCCGACCUUGAAAUACCACCCUUUAAUGUUUGAUGUUCUAACGUGGACCCGUAAUCCGGGUUGCGGACAGUGUCUGGUGGGUAGUUUGACUGGGGCGGUCUCCUCCUAAAGAGUAACGGAGGAGCACGAAGGUUGGCUAAUCCUGGUCGGACAUCAGGAGGUUAGUGCAAUGGCAUAAGCCAGCUUGACUGCGAGCGUGACGGCGCGAGCAGGUGCGAAAGCAGGUCAUAGUGAUCCGGUGGUUCUGAAUGGAAGGGCCAUCGCUCAACGGAUAAAAGGUACUCCGGGGAUAACAGGCUGAUACCGCCCAAGAGUUCAUAUCGACGGCGGUGUUUGGCACCUCGAUGUCGGCUCAUCACAUCCUGGGGCUGAAGUAGGUCCCAAGGGUAUGGCUGUUCGCCAUUUAAAGUGGUACGCGAGCUGGGUUUAGAACGUCGUGAGACAGUUCGGUCCCUAUCUGCCGUGGGCGCUGGAGAACUGAGGGGGGCUGCUCCUAGUACGAGAGGACCGGAGUGGACGCAUCACUGGUGUUCGGGUUGUCAUGCCAAUGGCACUGCCCGGAAGCGAAGGAAAGGAAGG